rnacentral:rRNA from 1 species
UACAGAGGUCUCAAGCGUUGUUCGGAUUCAUUGGGCGUAAAGGGUGCGUAGGCGGCGCGGUAAGUCGGGUGUGAAAUCUUGGAGCUUGACUCCGAAACUGCAUUCGAUACUGCCGUGCUUGAGGACUGGAGAGGAGACUGGAAUUUACGGUGUAGCGGUGAAAUGCGUAGAUAUCGUAAGGAAGACCAGUGGCGAAGGCGGGUCUCUGGACAGUUCCUGACGCUGAGGCACGAAGGUCAGGGGAGCAAACGGG